GUCCCUACUGCUCCCAUACUGGACCCAUACAGUUCCCUACAGAUCUGUAUUGGUCCCAUACUGGUCCAUACUGGUCUGUACUGGUCUCUACUGUCCCAUACUGGUCUGCAGUGGUCCAUACUGUCCCAUACUAGUCUCAUACUGGUCCAUACUGUCCCAUACUGGUCCCAUACUGGUCUCUACUGGUCCCAUACUGGCCCAUAGUGUCCCGUACUGGUCCCGUACUGGUCCCGCACUGUCCCACAGUGUCCCAUACUGGUCUGUACUGGUCCCACACUGUCCUGUUCUGUCCCAUACUGGUCCCGUACUGCCCCAUACUCUCCCACACUGUCCCAUACUGCUCCAUACUGGUCUCUACUGUCCCAUACUGGUCUGUACUGGUCCGUACUGGUCCAUACUCACGCAGGCAGCGGUCGCAGCGUCCCGCUCCGUGGCGCUGGCAGGAGCUGUGAGCGUGGCAGCCGCACGGCACCAACCACUGGGACACACUGGUCCUUACUGGUCCCAUACUGGU
rnacentral:lncRNA from 1 species